rnacentral:rRNA from 1 species
GCAUAUCAAUAAGCGGAGGAAAAGAAACUAACAAGGAUUCCCCUAGUAACUGCGAGUGAAGCGGGAAAAGCUCAAAUUUAAAAUCUGGCGGUCUUUGGCCGUCCGAGUUGUAAUCUAGAGAAGUGUUACCCGCGUCGGACCGUGUACAAGUCUCCUGGAAUGGAGCGUCAUAGAGGGUGAGAAUCCCGUCUUUGACACGGACUACCGAGGCUUUGUGGUGCGCUCUCAAAGAGUCGAGUUGUUUGGGAAUGCAGCUCAAAAUGGGUGGUAAAUUCCAUCUAAAGCUAAAUAUUGGCGAGAGACCGAUAGCGAACAAGUACCGUGAGGGAAAGAUGAAAAGAACUUUGGAAAGAGAGUUAAACAGUACGUGAAAUUGCUGAAAGGGAAACGCUUGAAGUCAGUCGCGUUGGCCGGAAAUCAGCCUUGGUUCUCCUUGGUGUAUUUUCUGGUUGACGGGCCAGCAUCAGUUUUGACCGGUGGAAAAAGUUGGAGGGAAUGUGGCAUCUUCGGAUGUGUUAUAGCCCUCCUUCGUAUACAUCGGUUGGGACUGAGGAACUCAGCACGCCGCAAGGCCGGGGUUCGCCCACGUUCGUGCUUAGGAUGCUGGCAUAAUGGCUUUAAUCGACCCGUCUUGAAACACGGACCAAGGAGUCUAACAUGCCUGCGAGUGUUUGGGUGGAAAACCCGGACGCGUAAUGAAAGUGAAAGUCGGGAUCCCUGUCAUGGGGAGCACCGACGCCCGGACCUGACGUUCUCUGACGGUUCUGCGGUAGAGCAUGUAUGUUGGGACCCGAAAGAUGGUGAACUAUGCCUGAAUAGGGUGAAGCCAGAGGAAACUCUGGUGGAGGCUCGUAGCGAUUCUGACGUGCAAAUCGAUCGUCAAAUUUGGGUAUAGGGGGCGAAAGACUAAUCGACCAUCUAGUAGCUGGUUCCUGCCGAAG